rnacentral:piRNA from 1 species
CGAUUUGGUAUCUUAAGAAGUGA